GCUAACAUAUUGUUAUUGCUACAGUCGGAACGGAUUUCUACUCCGUGGGUUGCAGGUUCGAAUCCUGCUGGGAUCG
rnacentral:tRNA from 1 species